rnacentral:tRNA from 1 species
GCGAGGAUGGCGGAAUUGGCAGACGCGCUAGGUUGAGGGCCUAGUGGAGGCAACUCCAUGGGGGUUCAACUCCCCCUCCUCGCACCA